rnacentral:rRNA from 1 species
UGCGUAGGCGGACUAAUAAGUCAGUGGUGAAAUCUUGCAGCUUAACUGUAAAACUGCCAUUGAUACUGUUAGUCUUGAAUUUAGUUGAGGUAGGCGGAAUGUAUUGUGUAGCGGUGAAAUGCAUAGAUAUAAUACAGAACACCGAUUGCGAAGGCAGCUUACUAAGCUAUAAUUGACGCUGAUGCACGAAAGCGUGGGUAGCGAACAGGAUUAGAUACCCUGGUAGUC